UGAGGCUUGGUGGAGAAGAAGACCUUCGUGGAGGUGCAUAGGCUGUGGAUUCUCACAUGUCUACUAUGUGAGAUCCUCAGGAAAGUCCCAUUAUCCUAAAGGAGGGUAGACUUUAACCAUCAUGAAGAAAGGUCAAACAAAGCCCCAGGAAUAAUCCACAAAAUCUGCAAAAGAUCUCUGGCGAGAGGCAGUCCAUUCCACAAGAGCCCAGUGAAGGACCCACUCCCUACCACCACCCACAAUGACAAAUAACGUGCAAAUAAAGUGAAACUGAGCCAAGAUUACCUGGAAAAUCCAGACAGAGCUACCUGCUUCUCAUCCUACAGGAAUCAUGCCUCCUUUCAAUAAAAGUUGGAAAACAAGAUUUUUCUUGUUGCUGGCUCUAACGGGAGAUUAAGAUUUCAAAAGUAUCACAGCUGGCCAGUCAUUUAAACAUGACAGUGUUUAGAAAGAAAUAUUCUCAAAAUUGAUUCACGUGAGGAAUCCAGUUCAUCUUCUGUGAACUGGAAAACUUUUAGAGUGGAAGGCCUGGAGCCAGACCCAGGAAACCCUAGGCUGAUGAGAAACAUGGAAAUCUUGGAAAGAAGAGGCAAGAUUGGAGACCAAGUCCCACCCAGCAUCAGUCCAUCCCUAUCCCAUUUGGCUCCAGUUAUGAAAGCCCUCAAACUGGGAGGUUGCCAAGGUUGCCCCAGUUUACAGUCCACAUAUUCCUUGCACUUUGGAGUACUCCUACCUGAACACUGGGCCACUGUGUGGACUGCUUGUGCCAUUAAAGGAAAUGUGGGGAUGGAAUUGGAAGCAACUUCUGUGUCAUUUGUCUUCACCUUUUUUAGCAGGUGAAGGUGUGGGAUUUCAUUCAUGCCUCACCAGAUUGUAACCUCACUCCUUUCUGAUGUUAUUGCUUCUCAUACUCUCUGUCCUAGAAUAAAAACCCCAGAAAAUA